rnacentral:rRNA from 1 species
UACGGGGGGGGCAAGCGUUGUUCGGAAUUACUGGGCGUAAAGGGCUCGUAGGCGGAUAUUUAAGUCAGGGGUGAAAUCCCAGAGCUCAACUCUGGAACUGCCUUUGAUACUGGGUAUCUUGAGUAUGGAAGAGGUGAGUGGAAUUCCGAGUGUAGAGGUGAAAUUCGUAGAUAUUCGGAGGAACACCAGUGGCGAAGGCGGCUCACUGGGUCCAU